rnacentral:rRNA from 1 species
AGAACGAACGCUGGCGGCAUGCCUAACACAUGCAAGUCGAACGCUCUUGGGGCUUCGGUUCCAAGGGAGUGGCGCACGGGUGAGUAGCGCGUGGGAACCUGCCCUGGAGUGGGGGAUAACCGAGGGAAACUUCGGCUAAUACCGCAUGCGCCCGGGAAACCGGGGAAAGAUUUAUCGCUCUAGGAGGGGCCCGCGUCGGAUUAGCUAGUUGGUGGGGUAACGGCCUACCAAGGCUUUGAUCCGUAGCUGGUCUGAGAGGAUGAUCAGCCACACUGGGACUGAGACACGGCCCAGACUCCUACGGGAGGCAGCAGUGGGGAAUAUUGGACAAUGGGCGCAAGCCUGAUCCAGCAAUGCCGCGUGAGUGAUGAAGGCCUUCGGGUUGUAAAGCUCUUUCGCACGCGAGGAUGAUGACGCUAGCGUGAGAAGAAGCCCCGGCUAACUUCGUGUCAGCAGCCGC